GACGAACGCUGGCGGCGUGCUUAACACAUGCAAGUCGAACGGGCCUGUCUUCUUUUUUGGGGGUGGGUUGAGUGGCGAACGGGUGAGUAUCACGUGAGUAACCUGCCCUUCGGUCCUGGAUAACCGCUUGAAAGGGCGGCUAAUACGGGGUGGUCCGGUUGGUCCGCAUGGGCUGGUCGGGAUAGAUUCACUGUUUUUGGUGUUUCGGCGGGGGAUGGGCUCGCGGCCUAUCAGCUUGUUGGUGGGGUGAUGGCCUACCAAGGCGGUGACGGGUAGCCGGCCUGAGAGGGUGGGCGGCCAGACUGGGACUGAGAUACGGCCCAGACUCCUGCGGGAGGCAGCAGUGGGGGGUAUUGCACAAUGGGCGGAAGCCUGAUGCAGCGACGUCGCGUGAGGGAUGGAGGCCUUCGGGUUGUGAACCUCUGUUUCCGGUGGUGAAGGCCCUGUCCGUGUGGUGGGGUUGACGGUGGCCGGGGAUGAAGCGCCGGCUAACUACGUG
rnacentral:rRNA from 1 species